UAUAAAAAUUAAGUGCCUUCAAUGGACCAUUUCAAAAAUAGUGGUGAUUGUUGUUUGGUUUUAAAUGUUUUUUCUCCUAAAGAGACAUUUUCCCCCAGGAAAGGAUUGGAUGUAUUAUAAGUUAUCUUUUUUGCCUAAAUAAAAUUUCUCCAUACCCGGCCCCUCAUUGCCCCAAAUUCUGGGAUUAAUGGAUAUGGGCCACCACAUUUGGUUCAUGUGGUGCUGAAGAUUAAAGCCGGAACUUCAUGCUUGUUGGGCAAGUGCCCUACCAACUAAGCCACAUGCCCAGCCUCUGUUUUAGUUUGAGACAGCUUUCCUAUGUAGCUCAGGCUAGCUGCGAACUCACAGCACUUCUCCUGUCUUGGUCUUCUAAAUGCAGGGAUUACAGGCAUGAACCACACUACCAAAAAACAAACAAACAAACAAACAAAAACAAAACAAAGAAAUGACUUUAGAAUAAACUUUAUGAUGGUCUCCUCAUACUUAAUUUCUAAUUACCCAAUUUACUUUCACACACAUUAACCUUCAAAAUGGUUAUUAUGACCUAGUUAUGAAAGCUUUGUGUGAUGGGGCAGGAGUGGAGCACAUGUGCUUAGCUGAGGUAAGAUCUGGGUUUAAACCCCAGUGUGCACACACACCCACACACCAAAUCUAUAGUUUUUGUCAGCUUGACACAGGCUAGAAUCAUUUGGAAAGAAGGACCCUGGUUAAGGAAAUGUGGUCACGAGAGUGGCCUGUAGGCACUUGAUUAAUGAUUGAUAGGAGAGGGCCCAGCCCAGAGGCUGUGCUACCCCUGGGCAAGUGCAGGACUCCUCUAUGGCCUCUGCUUCAUUCAGUUUUUGCCUCCAGGUUCUGCCUUGGGUUCCUCCCCUGAUUGUCCUCCACGAAGGAGUGGGACCUAAAGACUUGUGUGCUGGAACAAACCCUUCCCAUUUUUGGACUGGGUGUAUUAUCACAGCAACAGAAACAAAGGACUAAACUCAGACUCUGCGUCUAGGAAGACUGAAUUUGUGACUGUCCCCUGGACAGUGUCUGCUCUUAUCAUUGGAGUCUGUUUCUCUGAGCACUCAGGAGAAAGGCUGGAGAUAAAUUCCAGAUACCACUAUCUACUAUCAUCCUCAAUCCCUAAGGGAAUCUUUCUCCAACUCAGUCACCUUUCCAGGCCUGCCAGUUCCCGGUUACCCUUGUUCCAGUCUAGAUGGAGAGGCAAACUCCUAAAAAGCUGCAAUUUUAAAAGCAGCUGGAGAGGGGACUCAUGGGAGUGGCUCAACUUCCAGAAUCCAAGGUUAAUAGGCUGUGAAUGCCACUUUCUGUGUACAUUGUCCCUGCUUCAGCAGUUCCUUUAAACUGCCAUCAUUCAGUUUGGGGAGAAGAGGAAAGUGGGAAUUGCUCCAGCUGCAAGGAGGCAGGGAACAAUGCUCUCUCCUCCCCUUGCUCCCACCCCUCCGAUGCUGAAGGUUUCUCCCACAGAGGCAGGCCCUAGUUAUAAGCAGGAGGUAUCAGAAAGCCUAUCCAAUGUGAUUUCAAAAUUAUUUCCAAGUCAUUAGGGCCAAUUACUUACCUUUGGGCCCUAUAAUAUAGUUUGUUCUCUGCUAAACCGAUCGUUUCUCCUGUCACAAAUAUGAUAAUUCACCAGGGUGCCUCUCAAUCAUAUAGCAGAAAGAAUAGGAAUGAAUGAACAAACUGCCAUGAGGAGUACUCUCAUGUUAGCAUUAUUUGGCAGUACUAGGGAUGCAACCCAGAUCCUGGAACGUGAUGGGCAAACCACUUUACCACUGAGCUCCAUCUCUAGUCUAGGCAAUUGUUUUAAUUAGAAAAUGACUCAGGCUGGGUAGUGGUGAUUAUAAUGGUCUGUCCUAUCCCUUUAAGAGACAAGCCACACCCACUCCCUCCCAACCCUGUCCACUGAGACAAGCUGAUCUUCAGCUUCUAGCCUGAGUCCCUUACCUUUCUCUCUCUCUCUCUCUCUCUCUCUCUCUCUCUCUCUCUCUCUCUCUCUCUCAGAGGCAGCUUCUGUCUCUCCCUUCUCCCUACUUCUCUCCUUCACCUUUCUCUGUUUUUUCUCUCUGCUCUUCCCCCUUCUCUCCUUCCCUUCCAUAACCCACUAAAUAAAUAUCCAAUUUCACUCUGCAUGGUGUGCCUCUCUCUUCCUCUCUCUCACCCACCCACCAUGUGGCUCCCUGCUCGGGACCAGCUGCCUUUAGAGACCUUUAGCAUGGUCUUGUGGAGUGUAUAUCCAUCUCAGUCUCUCACCCACCAUGUGGCUCCCUGCCUGGGACUGGCUGCCUUUGUGAUCUCCCCGCUCGGAGACCUGCAACAUUUUUCUUAAACCAUUACAGUAUUCAGGCCUUUAAUCUCAGCACGUGCAGAUCUCUGUAAACUCGAGGCCAGCUUAGUCUACACAGCAAGUCCCAGGACAUCCAAAGCAACGCAGAGAAACCCUGUCUUGGAAAAAAAAAAAGGGGGGGGGUGCUAAGAGCAUGUGCUGGGGCUUGCAGAGGACCUGAACUCAGUUCUCACAGCCCUGUCAGUUUCACAACCACUUAUAUCUCCAGCUCCAGAAGAUCUGGGCAUCCGUGGCCUCUGACCUCUGUGGUGACCAGGUACACAGACACACAGACAUAUACAUAAUGAGAAAAAUAAUUAAGCCAGACAUGGUUGCGCAGGCCUUUAAUUCCAGUACUUGAAAGGCAGAGGAAGGUGAAUCUUCGAGUCCGAGGCCAGCCUGGUUUACAGAGAAACCCUGUCUCAAAAAAAAAAAAAAAAAAUCUUCAAAGGCUAAAAAAGAAUUCACUAAGACUGGAGACAGUGUUAGUGUUGAAACAGCAGUCUGCUCAGGGUUCUUAGGAUUUUCAAAACUUAUGAUGAAAUACCCUCUGCCCUACAGAAGAGUGCAGACAAACUGAAAAGGGAACGAUGGACCUGCAAGCAAAAAUUCGUAACAGAAAACUAUCCUUAUCAGUACCCCCCAAAAGAAUCCACAAUAGUGUGUGUGGUCCAGGCAUUUCCACAUGGGCUUUUCCAGAUGGCCAGCAGAGCCCAAUGCAGAUUCAUAAGGAAAUUCUUGGACUUUAAUCUCAACUUUCCAAAUGACUAUUUAUUUAUCUAGGCAGGGUCUCCUUACGUUGCCUCCUCCUGCCUUGGUCUCCAAACACUUUAACUACAAGUGAACAAACCUUGCAAAGCUUAAGCAACUUCUGCUAGAAGCUCCUUUUCAAGAUCAAUUUUUUUUUCCCUUUGGUCUUUUUCUGACCGGUUCCUCUUUGCAUCCCAGGCUAACUUGGGUUAGGCUAGUCUCAGACAUGUCUUUCUGUCUAAUUAGAGGCAUGUGCCAUCAUGGCUUCUCUCUUUCUCCCUCUCCUCUUCCUCCCUCCAGUCCCAUUUUUCUCCUUUCCACUUCCUUCCCUACCCAUCCUUUCCUUUCUUGAGUUUCUUGUGACCCAAGCCAGCCUCUAACUAGCUACAUGGGAGGGGGUGUGGGGGGUGGAGGCUGGGGAAGGUGUUAAUGACCUUGAAUUUCUGAUUCUCCAGACUCCAGCAGCCCACAACACCACACAGGCUUCCCCAUUUUAGGUUCAGCUCCCCAAAUUCCCUAGUUAAUUUCCAUGUAAAUAACUCUUGAGUUCUGGCGCUAGGGGAUGUUACCCUAGGGCCUCAAAAAGUGGAGGCAGGGCAAUGCUCUACCUAAGCCUGUGUCUCCAGUGCACUUCCCAGCUCUUCACUGGGUAAAAGACAGUAUUUCUUCCUGUCCCUGUUUUUUUUAUAUUUUUUCCAUGAUUCGUUAAGAUAUUGGGGCCCUUAAUCGCAUGGUGCUUGCCUUUAAUCGCAGCACCCAGGAGACAGAGGUAGACACGUCUUUGUGAGUUCAAGGCCAGCCUGGUGUACAUAGGGAGUUCCAGGCCAGCCAGGGCUACACAGUAAGAACAUGUAAAAGAAUAAAAAAAAAAUCUAUCAAUAAAAUUAGUUAAUUUUAAAAUGCUAUGGCUGGGAGUAUGGAGUAUGACUUAGUCCUACAGUGACGCCUACCCAGCAUACCCUGAUGAUGCCCUGGUGCUAUUCCCAGACCACCACACAGGACUCUUGUUAGAUAGAUACCUAGGUAGGUAGGUAGGUAGGUAGAUAGAUAGAUAGAUAGAUAGAUAGAUGCAGAAAUGAGCGUGACAGAGCCAGCACAGCUUUUUUUAGAAUAGCCCUCUGACAGGAGGGAAGUUUUUUUGUGCUAUGGUCUCCACCUCCUUGGCUCAAGUAAUCUUGUCUUAACAAGGAGUUGGAACUAUUAGCUUGAGCCACCUGCCACCACACUCAGUAUCACAAAGCUUCUGAGUAGAAGAACCAGCAAGACUAGGUGACAAUGGCCAUGUGAGACAAGGUUUGGGAGGGGAACAGGGAUGAAAAAAAUGAUGGUUUCUGUUUUGGAGCUACCUGAUGUGGGAGUGAUUUCUUAUUAAUAAAGAAACUGGCUAAGCCCCUUGAUAGGCCAACCCUUAGGUGGGUGGAGUAAACAGAACAGAAUGCUGGGAAAAAGAAGCUGAGUCUAGGAGUCGCCAUGAUUCUCCCACUCCAGACAGACGCAGGUUAAGAUCUUUCCUGAUAAGCCACCACAUGGGCUACACAGAUUAUUAGAAAUGGGUUAAAUUAAUAUGUAAGAGCUAGCCAAUAAGAGGCUGAAACCUAUGGGCCAGGCAGUGUUUAAAAGAAUACAGUUCCGUGUAAUUAUUUCGGGGCAUAAGCUAGAGCCAUGCGGGCGGCCGGGUGCUGAGGACGCAGCCUCGCCACUCCUUCUACAUCUACCCUUUAUGUUUGUCUGUUUCUGUUUGAUGUGAGAUGUUUGGUUUCUGUAACUUUGCCUUCUUCCCUUAAAGCGUUUCAGUCAGACGGUGGUGGUACACGCCUUUAAUCCCAGCACUUGGGGGACAGAGGCAGGUGGAUCUCUGUUGAGUUUGAGGCCAGCCUGGUCUACGGAGUGAGUUCCAGGACAGGCCCCCAAAGCUACAGAAAAACCCUGUCUCGUCUUAACAAAACAACAAGUAAACAAACAAAAAGUCAGUUUCAGUAGAGAAAGAAAGAGCGGAGGGAGGGAGGGAGGGAGGGGGAGAGAGAGAGAGAGAGAGAGAGAGAGAGAGAGAGAGAGAGAGAGAGAGAGAGGCCUUCCUGAUGGGCCUGUCCAACGAGAAUUCUGGACUAGGCCAACUUGGCUUCCUCAGAAAAACACCCGAGCAAACGCUUGAUGUCUCAGAACAGCUUCUUUCUGCAGUCUCCUACUCGAUCACUAGAGUCUUUUUUUUUUUUUUUUUUUUUUUUUUUGGUUUUUCGAGACAGGGUUUCUCUGUGGCUUUGGAGCCUGUCCUGGCACUAGCUCUGUAGACAAGGCUGGUCUCAAACUCACAGAGAUCCGCCUGCCUCUGCCUCCCGAGUGCUGGGAUUAAAGGCGCGCGCCACCAUCGUCCCGGGAUCACUAGAGUCUUAAAGUCCCACUCCAGUGUACCCGUCCAGCAGGUCCAGUUAUUCCAGGGUCUGAAGAGGCACUACCUGAAAGAACAUGGGCAGGAGAGAGAAACGAGACCAAGCAAAAUUCACUUGUCAAGGCCUCUCUUUAUUAGCGAUGGUUGCGACUUAUAUAGCCCUUGAAAGAGGAAUUUGGCUUGGGGUGGGGGGGUAGAAGGAAUUUUGCUUGGGUAGCAAAGGUCACUAGUUAGCACACCUGGUAAGCAUGGCUCCAUUAACAAACAGCUCUCAAGGUAGUUGGGAUGUGGGAGCUCUCUGCAAACAUUCUUAGGACAAUGGUCCCUGCUAUCAAGAUAGUUGGGAUGUGAGGCAGGUUCCCUUAGCAAACAGCUCUCAAGGUAGUGGGGCUUUCUGCAAACAUCCUUAGUACAAUGGUCCCUGCUAUCAUCUUUGGGACAAGGGUCCCUGACACUCCAGGGGCUGCUGAGAUGGCACAGCAGGCAGGAGUGCUUGCCGCCAGUCCUGACUGAUUAAGUUCAGUCCCCGGGAUCCACACGUCCACAUGGUAGAAGGACAAGAUGACAAGACGCGGGGUGAAAGCAUGCCCAUGAGGAAGGAUGGCAUAUCCAUGAAGUCUGGUGAGGCGUGGGAAAGGAAGAAAGAAAGACGGAUGGAUGGAUGGAUGGCUCAUCAGGUAAAGACGCUUUGGUACCUGGG